CGCCUCUUGAGUAAAAAUAAGAGGUCUAGCCUGCCCAGUGACCACAGUUCAACGGCCGCGGUAUCCUAACCGUGCGAAGGUAGCGUAAUCACUUGUUCUUUAAAUGAGGACUAGUAUGAAUGGCAUCACGAGGGUUAUACUGUCUCCUUUUUCCAAUCAGUGAAACUAUCUCCCCGUGAAGAAACGGGGAUACUUUUAUAAGACGAGAAGACCCUAUGGAGCUUUAAAUUUUAUUCCAAUUGCUUACUUAUACAGCCUGUACCAACUUCUUACACUCAACUAAGCAUAAUGCUAAUAAAUUUUAGGUUGGGGUGACCGCGGAGCAUAAAAAAACCUCCGCACAGAGCAAGCCUUAAGCCUUGAACAAAGAGCUACAACUCCAAGUACUAACACAUUAACAUCCAUUGACCCAAUACCCUUGAUCAACGAACCAAGUUACCCUAGGGAUAACAGCGCAAUCUACUUUAAGAGCCCCUAUCGACAAGUAGGUUUACGACCUCGAUGUUGGAUCAGGGUAUCCCAGUGGUGCAGCCGCUACUAAAGGUUCGUUUGUUCAACGAUUAAAACCC
rnacentral:rRNA from 1 species